UGGGGAAUAUUGCACAAUGGGCGCAAGCCUGAUGCAGCCAUGCCGCGUGUGUGAAGAAGGCCUUCGGGUUGUAAAGCACUUUCAGCGAGGAGGAAGGCAGUCGUGUUAAUAGCACGAUUGAUUGACGUUACUCGCAGAAGAAGCACCGGCUAACUCCGUGCCAGCAGCCGCGGUAAUACGGAGGGUGCAAGCGUUAAUCGGAAUUACUGGGCGUAAAGCGCACGCAGGCGGUUUGUUAAGUCAGAUGUGAAAUCCCCGCGCUUAACGUGGGAACUGCAUUUGAAACUGGCAAGCUAGAGUCUUGUAGAGGGGGGUGAGAAUUCCAGGUGUAGCGGUGAAAUGCGUAGAGAUCUGGAGGAAUACCGGUGGCGAAGGCGGCCCCCUGGACAAAGACUGACGCUCAGGUGCGAAAGCGUGGGGAG
rnacentral:rRNA from 1 species